GCGUCUGUAGCCCUAGUUGGUAAAGGCAGCACUCUAGUAAGCUGAGGUCGUGAGUUUGACUCUCACCAGACACA
rnacentral:tRNA from 1 species